AUCUACAGCCAUGCUACUCUGAACGAGCCUGAUCCCAUCUGAUCUUGGAAGCUAAGCAGGAUCGGGCCUGGUUAGUACUUGGAUGGGAGACCACCUAAGAAGAUCAGGUGCUGUAGGUG
rnacentral:rRNA from 1 species